GUACGUACAAGCAGUGGGAGCACAGGUUUACCUGUGUGACUGCGUACCUUUUGUAUAAUGGGUCAGCGACUUAUAUUCUGUAGCAAGGUUAACCGUAUAGGGGAGCCGGAGGGAAACCGAGUCUUAAUUGGGCGUUAAGUUGCAGGGUAUAGACCCGAAACCCGGUGAUCUAGCCAUGGGCAGGUUGAAGGUUGGGUAACACUAACUGGAGGACCGAACCGACUAAUGUUGAAAAAUUAGCGGAUGACCUGUGGCUGGGGGUGAAAGGCCAAUCAAACCGGGAGAUAGCUGGUUCUCCCCGAAAGCUAUUUAGGUAGCGCCUCGUGAAUUCAUCUCCGGGGGUAGAGCACUGUUUCGGCUAGGGGGCCAUCCCGGCUUACCAACCCGAUGCAAACUGCGAAUACCGGAGAAUGUUAUCACGGGAGACACACGGCGGGUGCUAACGUCCGUCGUGAAGAGGGAAACAACCCAGACCGCCAGCUAAGGUCCCAAAGUCAUGGUUAAGUGGGAAACGAUGUGGGAAGGCCCAGACAGCCAGGAUGUUGGCUUAGAAGCAGCCAUCAUUUAAAGAAAGCGUAAUAGCUCACUGGUCGAGUCGGCCUGCGCGGAAGAUGUAACGGGGCUAAACCAUGCACCGAAGCUGCGGCAGCGA
rnacentral:rRNA from 1 species